rnacentral:ribozyme from 1 species
GGGGUGCGGUAGACCUACCUCCACGUGGUGUACCCCAGGCAACGUAUUCUCAUACGGCAAAGAAGUCUAU